CCCGCUGAACUUAAGCAUAUCAAUAAGCGGAGGAAAAGAAACUAACAAGGAUUCCCCUAGUAACUGCGAGUGAAGCGGGAAAAGCUCAAAUUUAAAAUCUGGCGUUCCUUUGGUCGUCCGAGUUGUAGUCUGGAGAAGUGUUUUCCGCGCUGGACCGUGUACAAGUCCCUUGGAAUAGGGCGUCAUAGAGGGUGAGAAUCCCGUCUUUGACAUGGACUACCAGUGCUUUGUGAUGCGCUCUCAAAGAGUCGAGUUGUUUGGGAAUGCAGCUCAAAAUGGGUGGUAAAUUCCAUCUAAAGCUAAAUACAGGCGAGAGACCGAUAGCGAACAAGUACCGUGAGGGAAAGAUGAAAAGCACUUUGGAAAGAGAGUUAAACAGUACGUGAAAUUGCUGAAAGGGAAACACUUGAGGUCAGUCGCAUCUGCUAGGACUCAGCCUUGCUUCUGCUUGGUGUACUUUCUAGUUUGAUGGGCCAGCAUCGAUUUUGACCGUUGGAAAAAGGUUGAGGGAAUGUGGCACCUUUGGGUGUGUUAUAGACCUCUAUCGCAUACAACGGUUUGGAUCGAGGACUGCAGCACGCCUUUAUGGCCGGGGUUCGCCCACGUACGUGCUUAGGAUGCUGGCAUAAUGGCUUUAAGUGACCCGUCUUGAAACACGG
rnacentral:rRNA from 1 species